AACAGGAUUAGAUACCCUGGUAGUCCACGCCGUAAACGAUGUCGACUUGGAGGUUGUGCCCUUGAGGCGUGGCUUCCGGAGCUAACGCGUUAAGUCGAGCGCCUGGGGAGUACGGCCGCAAGGUUAAAACUCAAAUGAAUUGACGGGGGCCCGCACAAGCGGUGGAGCAUGUGGUUUAAUUCGAUGCAACGCGAAGAACCUUACCUACUCUUGACAUCCACGGAACUUGCCAGAGAUGGCUUGGUGCCUUCGGGAACCGUGAGACAGGUGCUGCAUGGCUGUCGUCAGCUCGUGUUGUGAAAUGUUGGGUUAAGUCCCGCAACGAGCGCAACCCUUAUCCUUUGUUGCCAGCGGUCCGGCCGGGAACUCAAAGGAGACUGCCAGUGAUAAACUGGAGGAAGGUGGGGAUGACGUCAAGUCAUCAUGGCCCUUACGAGUAGGGCUACACACGUGCUACAAUGGCAUAUACAAAGAGAAGCGACCUCGCGAGAGCAAGCGGACCUCAUAAAGUAUGUCGUAGUCCGGAUUGGAGUCUGCAACUCGACUCCAUGAAGUCGGAAUCGCUAGUAAUCGUGGAUCAGAAUGCCACGGUGAAUACGUUCCCGGGCCUUGUACACACCGCCCGUCACACCAUGGGAGUGGGUUGCAAAAGAAGUAGGUAGCUUAACCUUCGGGAGGGCGCUUACCACUUUGUGAUUCAUGACUGGGGUGAAGUCGUAACAAGGUAACC
rnacentral:rRNA from 1 species